UUUGCAUACAUAUAUAUAUAUAUAUAUGGUAUAUAUAUAUUUAUAUAUGUGGCAUCAGAAGAAAAAGGCAAUUGGGCUGAAUGUCACAGCCGAAAUGGAAGGAGAAAUAAUUGGUUGUUACAGGUCCCACUGGAAUGGUUUGACAUGGGUUUAAAGUUUGAUUUUUUUUUUUUUUUUUUGUUGCUUUCUAAAUGUGAUAUAUUUAUUGGUGUUUUGUUAUGGAGUAGUUUGACCGAAAUGAUGAAGAGAAAAGGAAGCAAAAUGAGUUUUGAUUUAGUGUUAUAUAUAUAUGAUUUAUAUAUAUAUAUUGUGUAUCUAGUAAAAGGACAAGGCCAGGUGCCGAAAAUUGAAAAGGAGAGGUGCAGCAGCAAAAUGAAGGAAUAGAGAAAGGAAAAUUGUAAUGAUAAUUUGUGGGGUCCACCACUUGAUUUAUGUUUUAAUUUGUUGCAUAUAAUAUAUAUAUAUAAAUGUAUAUAUAUAUAUAUUUUGGGGCAACAUGGUGCUGCCAGCGAGAUUGAGAAAGGGAAUUGAGAUGGAAAAUGGUGAUGUGGUGGCGGGCCAUUAAGAGAUUUUUUUGUUUGCCAAUUCAUUUCUUUGACUUCUUGGGCUGUUUGGUAUACAAUUGAUUGUGUGUGUAAUGAAAGAAUAAGGAAAAGUAAGAAAAGGGGAAAAUUGGUGGUGGGCCCAUGGCAUUUAAUCAUUGUUUUGAUAUUUUAUUUCAUGGUGAGCUAUAUUGAGAUUUUAUUUAUUUAUUUAUUUUGUGUCGGUGGAAAGCCAUUAUAUAGUUUGGAAUUUGUGCCUCAUGGGUGAGUUAAUUUGAGAAGACAAAUAGAGAAAUAUAGAGGAAACACACAGAGAGUGUGAGGAUACAGAAAGAGGGCCGAGACUCAAAGGAUGCUGAGAAUUGUGGCCUUGAUAAUCCCGAGUUGAUUUAUUUAUUUUGCAGUUUUCAGAUACCGAGGAUGAACUUGGAUUGCUAGUAGUGGACUUAGGUGGAAGAGUUGGUGUUAAGGAAUUAAAUUAUUUUAUUUAGAGAUUUUUAUGUAUUUAUUUGAGGAAAUUGAUUUAGUAUCAAUUUAAUUAAUUUGAGAUGUUGUCUUAUUUAUUUGAGAAAAUUUGAUUGAUUUUGUAUCAAUAGAGGGUAUUUUAUUUCUUUUGAGAUCCUAGGUGUCUUUUAUGAAGUAUUUUGAUUUAAUGAAAUUGAGGAUUUUAUUUAGAAAAAAUUCGGGGCGUGACAAAGCUCUAAGAGCUUGUUUUAACCCGUAUAAAACUUUGGUUAGCUUAUAUACGCGGUUGGGAUAUUCAAGACUUUCAAAAUCGGGUGGUUGUUCAACAAGAACUUCUUCAUCAAUGAACCCAUUCAAGAAUGCACUUUUGACAUCCAUUUGAUACAGCUUAAAGUUUGGAUUGGAUGCAAAGGCAAGUAGCAUUCUAAUUGCUUCAAGUCGAGUAACUGGAGCAAAAGUUUCGUCGUAAUCGAUACCUUCCUCUUGAUUGUAACCUUGAGCAACAAGCCUGGCUUUAUUUUUAACAAUAAUUCCAUGUUCGUCCAUUUUGUUUCUAAAAA